rnacentral:rRNA from 1 species
CCAGCAGCCGCGGUAAUACGUAGGGCGCGAGCGUUNUCCGGAAUUAUUGGGCGUAAAGAGCUUGUAGGCGGUUGGUCGCNUCUGCUGUGAAAGGCUGGGGCUUAACCCUGGUUUUGCAGUGGGUACGGGCUAACUAGAGUGCAGUAGGGGAGUCUGGAAUUCCUGGUGUAGCGGUGGAAUGCGCAGAUAUCAGGAGGAACACCGAUGGCGAAGGCAGGUCUCUGGGCUGUAACUGACGCUGAGAAGCGAAAGCAUGGGGAGCGAACAGGAUUAGAUACCCUGGUAGUCCAUGCCGUAAACGUUGGGCACUAGGUGUGGGGGACAUUCCAUGUUUUCCGCGCCGUAGCUAACGCAUUAAGUGCCCCGCCUGGGGAGUACGGCCGCAAGGCUAAAACUCAAAGAAAUUGACGGGGGCCCGCACAAGCGGCGGAGCAUGCGGAUUAAUUCGAUGCAACGCGAAGAACCUUACCAAGGCUUGACAUAUACUGGACUGCGUCAGAGAUGGCGUUUCCCUUCGGGGCUGGUAUACAGGUGGUGCAUGGUUGUCGUCAGCUCGUGUCGUGAGAUGUUGGGUUAAGUCCCGCAACGAGCGCAACCCUCGUUCUAUGUUGCCAGCACGUGAUGGUGGGGACUCAUAGGAGACUGCCGGGGUCAACUCGGAGGAAGGUGGGGAUGACGUCAAAUUAUCAUGCCCCUUAUGUCUUGGGCUUCACGCAUGCUACAAUGGCCGGUACAGAGGGUUGCGAUACUGUGAGGUGGAGCUAAUCCCUAAAAGCCGGUCUCAGUUCGGAUUGGGGUCUGCAACUCGACCCCAUGAAGUCGGAGUCGCUAGUAAUCGCAGAUCAGCAACGCUGCGGUGAAUACGUUCCCGGGCCUUGUACACACCGCCCGUCAAGUCACGAAAGUUGGUAACACCCGAAGCCGGUGGCCU